CCUUAGAUGUUCUGGGCCGCACGCGCGCUACACUGACAGAGCCAACGAGUAUAAACCUUAACCGAGAGGUUUGGGUAAUCUUGUUAAACUCUGUCGUGCUGGGGAUAGGGCAUUGCAAUUAUUGCCCUUCAACGAGGAAUAUCUAGUAAGCGCAAGUCAUCAGCUUGCGUUGAUUACGUCCCUGCCCUUUGUACACACCGCCCGUCGCUACUACCGAUUGAAUGGCUCAGUGAGGCCUUCGGACUGGCUCCAGUGGAUCGGCAACGUUCUUCAGGAGCCGGAAAGUUGGUCAAACUUGGUCAUUUAGAGGAAGUAAAAGUCGUAACAAGGU
rnacentral:rRNA from 2 species